rnacentral:tRNA from 1 species
GAGGGUAUAACUCAGUGGUGAAGAGUAUGCUUAGCAUGCAUGAGGGCCUGGGUUCAAUCCUCAGUAUCUCCA